GUCUAUGGGCAUACCACCUGAAUGUGCCAAAUCUUGUCUGAUCUUGGAAGCUAAGCAGGAUUGAACCUGCUUGGGUGGGUUAGGUGAGUGUAAGAAAUGAAGCAAGGACUCUGGAGUUG
rnacentral:rRNA from 1 species